rnacentral:rRNA from 1 species
CAGCCGCCGCGGGAAUACGGAGGGUGCAAGCGUUAAUCGGAAUUACUGGGCGUAAAGCGCACGCAGGCGGUCUGUCAAGUCAGAUGUGAAAUCCCCGGGCUUAACCUGGGAACUGCAUUUAAAACUGGCAGGCUGGAGUCUUGUAGAGGGGGGUAGAAUUCCAGGUGUAGCGGUGAAAUGCGUAGAGAUCUGGAGGAAUACCGGUGGCGAAGGCGGCCCCCUGGACAAAGACUGACGCUCAGGUGCGAAAGCGUGGGGAGCAAACAGGAUUAGAUACCCGCGUAGUCCCUGUCUCUUAUAC